ACCAGACUCCUACGGGAGGCAGCAGUGGGGAAUAUUGCACAAUGGGGGGAACCCUGAUGCAGCGACGCCGCGUGGGUGAAGGAGCACCUCGGUGCGUAAAGCCCUCUCGGCAGGGAAGAAAAGCGAACAGGUUCGCCUGGACGGUACCUGACUAAGAAGCCCCGGCUAACUACGUGCCAGCAGCCGCGGCAAUACGUAGGGGGCAAGCGUUAUCCGGGUUCACUGGGUGGAAAGGGAGCGUAGACGGCGGCGCAAGUGUGGAGUGAAAGCCCGGGGCCCAACCCCGGGACUGCUCUGGAAACUGCGGCGCUGGAGUACGGGAGGGGGAGGCGGAAUUCCUGGUGUAGCGGUGAAAUGCGUAGAUAUCAGGAGGAACACCGGCGGCGAAGGCGGCCUGCUGGACUGCAACUGACGUUGAGGCCCGAAAGCGUGGGGAGCAAACAGGAUUAGAUACCCCAGUAU
rnacentral:rRNA from 1 species